GGGGUUUGUGGGGAUGGGAGGAGGGGAAAGCACAUAAUAAAUUUUAAUACAAAAACAACUAGGCUUUAAUCCCAAACUAGUUAGGGUUGGCUAUAUAGAUCCUUUAUCACCAUUUCAACUUCGUUUAACACUAGGUCCGCAUCAAUAUCCAAAACAGAUUUUAAUUAACUAUUAAAAUUUCUAAGUUUUGGAAUCAUACCAAUUAAACAGACUUUACAUUUGCUUUUCUUCUUUUUCCUCCGCUUUUUUUGCUAGCAAGGCAUCAGGAACACCUUAACCUCUUGACUAAUCUCUAGUGCUGCAGUACAUGCAGCCUCCCUAUUCCAAACAAACCAUGCAAAUAUAAGGAGAAAUCCUUGGGGGAAGUCCAGUAAAAGGAGGUUUGCGAGGGGUUCAAACUCAGGUUAAGACUUCAUAAGGCCAAUGACACAACUUGCUAUCACCUAACCAUUCAACCAAACUGUUAGCUCCUUUCAACCAAUCAAUGACCGCAGAGAGUAGCAUUCACCAAAACGCAUUAUAGACUACAGAUAAGUCAACAAAUCAAUUACAAUCUGCGGUUAUGUGCAUAAGAAAAACAAUAUUAUCUAUGCUCUACUUGACACAGAAGAUCAAAGAACUCAAAAUUCCUUCUUACAAAUGGCACAAAAGGGUUCUCUUGUUGACAAAUGAUCCAUGACUUAACAUUACCAUGAUCUAGACAAAAAGUAAGAAGUAUCAUUUACGCUAUCCAAAAUUCAUUAUUAUGUCCUCUCCAAUCAAAAGUUAAUUAUAAGUAAUUUCACGAGACAAAACAAAUACUUACAGUUAA
rnacentral:misc_RNA from 1 species